rnacentral:ncRNA from 2 species
GGAGCAGCUUCUGGAGAGACUGUACAGCAAAUGUGCAGCGCCGAAGGAUUCAUAAUCUCAGGCAAAAGGACAGGAGAGUAGCA